AUUGAACGCUGGCGGCAGGCCUAACACAUGCAAGUCGAACGGUAACAGGAAGAAGCUUGCUUCUUUGCUGACGAGUGGCGGACGGGUGAGUAAUGUCUGGGAAACUGCCUGAUGGAGGGGGAUAACUACUGGAAACGGUAGCUAAUACCGCAUAACGUCGCAAGACCAAAGAGGGGGACCUUCGGGCCUCUUGCCAUCGGAUGUGCCCAGAUGGGAUUAGCUAGUAGGUGGGGUAAAGGCUCACCUAGGCGACGAUCCCUAGCUGGUCUGAGAGGAUGACCAGCCACACUGGAACUGAGACACGGUCCAGACUCCUACGGGAGGCAGCAGUGGGGAAUAUUGCACAAUGGGCGCAAGCCUGAUGCAGCCAUGCCGCGUGUAUGAAGAAGGCCUUCGGGUUGUAAAGUACUUUCAGCGGGGAGGAAGGGAGUAAAGUUAAUACCUUUGCUCAUUGACGUUACCCGCAGAAGAAGCACCGGCUAACUCCGUGCCAGCAGCCGCGGUAAUACGGAGGGUGCAAGCGUUAAUCGGAAUUACUGGGCGUAAAGCGCACGCAGGCGGUUUGUUAAGUCAGAUGUGAAAUCCCCGGGCUCAACCUGGGAACUGCAUCUGAUACUGGCAAGCUUGAGUCUCGUAGAGGGGGGUAGAAUUCCAGGUGUAGCGGUGAAAUGCGUAGAGAUCUGGAGGAAUACCGGUGGCGAAGGCGGCCCCCUGGACGAAGACUGACGCUCAGGUGCGAAAGCGUGGGGAACAAACAGGAUUAGAUACCCCUGGUAGUCCACGCCGUAAACGAUGUCGACUUGGAGGUUGUGCCCUUGAGGCGUGGCUUCCGGAGCUAACGCGUUAAGUCGACCGCCUGGGGAGUACGGCCGCAAGGUUAAAACUCAAAUGAAUUGACGGGGGCCCGCACAAGCGGUGGAGCAUGUGGUUUAAUUCGAUGCAACGCGAAGAACCUUACCUGGUCUUGACAUCCACAGAACCUUGUAGAGAUACGAGGGUGCCUUCGGGAACUGUGAGACAGGUGCUGCAUGGCUGUCGUCAGCUCGUGUUGUGAAAUGUUGGGUUAAGUCCCGCAACGAGCGCAACCCUUAUCCUUUGUUGCCAGCGGUCCGGCCGGGAACUCAAAGGAGACUGCCAGUGAUAAACUGGAGGAAGGUGGGGAUGACGUCAAGUCAUCAUGGCCCUUACGACCAGGGCUACACACGUGCUACAAUGGCGCAUACAAAGAGAAGCGACCUCGCGAGAGCAAGCGGACCUCAUAAAGUGCGUCGUAGUCCGGAUUGGAGUCUGCAACUCGACUCCAUGAAGUCGGAAUCGCUAGUAAUCGUGGAUCAGAAUGCCACGGUGAAUACGUUCCCGGGCCUUGUACACACCGCCCGUCACACCAUGGGAGUGGGUUGCAAAAGAAGUAGGUAGCUUAACCUUCGGGAGGGCGCUUACCAC
rnacentral:rRNA from 1 species